CAACUACAACGACCCCUACAACCGUAACUACACCGACGACUGCAACCAGUGAUGCAUCUAGCUUCAGACUUGGACUUCUCCAUCUGAUUCUAGGAAUCUUUAUCUUUAUCAUUUAACUGGUUAAAGAGAGAUCAGAGAUCUCACAACUAAACCAAAUUUAGAAUAUUAUGUAAACACUGUUUCUAACUUGUGGCCUGAGUAUUUUGAAUGAAUUAAAAACAGGGUGUAACUUUAUUUUACAUGUAUGUGAUCUAUUGUACUUAAAGGUUUAUUUUUGCAUCUCUAAUAGUAAAGAUGUUACAUUGUUUGUUAAUGUAUUCUUACAGUUUUUUUUAUGUCUGUUUAAUGUCUCAUAUAUCUAAAGAAUCUUAAUAUAUAGGAAUAGGAAUUUAUUGCCCAUUUAAUAUAUCUGUGCACUAGUUCAAAUUUCAACCUUGUGACUGAAAUUGUACUUUCCUAUUAUUUAACUCAAAUUUGAUAAAAUUGACUUCUGUCGUGGGAUUCCUCAGGUUCUGCUCUUGUUACAGGGACUUGCAAAAGUAUUCAUACUUCUUGAACCUUUCCACAUAUUGUUGCAUUACAUUGACAAACAAAUAUAUUUUAGUGAAACUGUAUGUGAAAUACCAUCACAAAGUGGUAAACAAUGGUGAACUAGAAAGAAAAUUUUACAUGAUUUAAAAAAUGUGUAUAAAUAAAAUAAUCAAGCCUCCCGUGAGUUCCAGCCGUUUGCUCUGUCUGUUCUGGUGGUUUCCUGGCAUACACUGCAUGUUCUGGUCUCCUGCUCAUCUCUGCCUGCCUGCUCAUUCAGCCAAGACUGUUACUGCUUGCCUGCCUCACACUCCAUUAUUCAUCCAGUCAAUAAACCUUUUAAACGUAUCUCUGUGUCCGGCUGAAUAUCGGGUUCACCUGCAGUAAAACAUAACACCAUUGGCUUUUCUUAAGGCAUAGCCAUUGACGGUAAUCCCGGAGGGAAAGCAGAUAUUGUGUGGAAAUAGAAACACACCUGACUAGUGAGAUCAUCUGUGUAGUAUACAAACUCUCACGCAGCGCUGGGCCUUUAGUUCCAGAGUUCAGGAAAACUAACCUGUGAUCAAGUUAUCACGAUGAAGCUGAUCUUUUCUUUGACUCUCGCCUGGGUGCUCUACAGGACAGCUACAGCCCUGCGGUGUCUCACUUGUGCAAUUCCGCCGUGUUUGGAAACUGCAUCAAAAAACUGUAGCUCAGAGACGAUGUGCAUAACCAGUAUUGGUGUCCUAGCAACUUUACUUGGAACGCCAUCGCCACUAAUCUACAAAGACUGUGCAUCAUCCUCUCUGUGUCCGGCCACAGGAAAUACGACUGCUUCAGUCAACUUGGGUUCCCUAAGAGCAACUGCAUCUGCUGAGUGCUGCAGCGCCGACGACUGCAACUCAAGAACUCUGCCUCCACCCCCUACUCAGUCACCUAACACCCUCCAGUGCAUUGCUUGUGAUUCCAACUCCUCAGAGUGCAACACUAUAAUAACAUGUUCAGGAAAUGAGAAAAACUGCUUCAACGCAACUGGAGACAAGCCUUACGAUGGCAGUACGUUCAACCAGAUCAUCACCAGGUUUUUGAACUCUAGAAAUUGGAAAAAUCAGAUUUGUUAUGAUCCUUUGGGGGUGGUGGUGGAGCAUGUGGACAGCAUUAAAUUCCUAGGCUUUCACCUUUCCUCCGACCUCUCCUAG